AAAACAUGGUCUUUUGUUUAUAUAAAAGAUCUGGCCUGCCCAAUGAUGAAAUUUAAUGGCUGCAGUAUUUUGACUGUACAAAGGUAGCAUAAUCAUUUGUCUUUUAAUUGAAGUCUGGAAUGAAUGGUUGGAUGAAAGGUUUACUUUCUUUAUUUUAUAAAUAAAAUUUAAUUUUUAAAUCAAAAAGUUUAACUAUUAAUAUAGGACGAGAAGACCCUAUAGAACUUUAUUUAUGGGUAUUAUUUAUUAAUUUGUUAAUUAUAAUUAUAUAUUUCCUUAUAAAUUAUGUUGGGGUGACAAAAAAAAUUUUAUAACUUUUUUUAAUUAAAUCAUUUAUAUAUGUAUUUUUGAUCCUUUAUUAUGGAGUAUAAGAUCAAGUUACCUUAGGGAUAACAGCGUUAUUAUUUUAGAGAGUUCUUAUUGAUAAAAUAGUUUGCGACCUCGAUGUUGGAUUAAAAUUAGCUUCAGGAGUAGAAAAUUGAGUGCUAAGUCUGUUCGACUUUUAAAUUUUUACAUGAUCU
rnacentral:rRNA from 1 species